rnacentral:rRNA from 1 species
CUACGGAAGGUCCGGGCGUUAUCCGGAUUUAUUGGGUUUAAAGGGAGCGCAGACGGUCAGUUAAGCGUGCAGUUAAAUGAUGUGGCUCAACCAUGUUUUGCUGCGCGAACUGGCUGACUUGAGUACACGGAACGUGGGUGGAAUUUGUGGUGUAGCGGUGAAAUGCUUAGAUAUCACGAAGAACUCCGAUUGCGAAGGCAGCCCGCGGCAGUGUCACUGACGUUCAUGCUCGAAGGUGCGGGUAUCGAACAGGAUUAGAUACCCUGGUAGUCCGCGCGGUAAACGAUGGACGCCCGCUGUGUGCCAUUGCGGUACGCGGCCAAGCGAAAGCGUUAAGCGUCCCACCUGGGGAGUACGCCGGCAACGGUGAAACUCAAAGGAAUUGACGGGG